GACGAACGCUGGCGGCGUGCCUAACACAUGCAAGUCGAACGGAAAGGCCCUGCUUGCAGGGUGCUCGAGUGGCGAACGGGUGAGUAACACGUGGGUGAUCUGCCCCUUACUUUGGGAUAAGCCUGGGAAACUGGGUCUAAUACUGGAUAGGACCAUGCUGUAGGUGGUGUGGUGGAAAGAUUAGUUUCGGUAAGGGAUGAGCUCGCGGCCUAUCAGCUUGUUGGUGGGGUAAUGGCCUACCAAGGCGUCGACGGGUAGCCGGCCUGAGAGGGUGGACGGCCACAUUGGGACUGAGAGACGGCCCAGACUCCUACGGGAGGCAGCAGUGGGGAAUAUUGCACAAUGGGCGCAAGCCUGAUGCAGCGACGCCGCGUGGGGGAUGACGGCCUUCGGGUUGUAAACUCCUUUCAGCCAUGACGAAGCCCUUGUGGUGACGGUAGUGGUAGAAGAAGCACCGGCUAACUACGUG
rnacentral:rRNA from 1 species